UAAGGAAUAUUGGUCAAUGGACGCAAGUCUGAACCAGCCAUGCCGCGUGAAGGAUGAAGGUCCUCUGGAUUGUAAACUUCUUUUAUAGGGGAAGAAACCGGGAAAUUCUUUUUCCGUUGACGGUACCCUGGGAAUAAGCACCGGCUAACUCCGUGCCAGCAGCCGCGGUAAUACGGAGGGUGCAAGCGUUAUCCGGAUUCACUGGGUUUAAAGGGUGCGUAGGUGGGUUUGUAAGUCAGUGGUGAAAUCUCCAAGCUUAACUUGGAAACUGCCGUUGAUACUAUAGAUCUUGAAUGCUGUGGAGGUGAGCGGAAUAUGUCAUGUAGCGGUGAAAUGCUUAGAUAUGACAUAGAACACCAAUUGCGAAGGCAGCUCACUACCCAGAUAUUGACACUGAGGCACGAAAGCGUGGGGAUCAAACA
rnacentral:rRNA from 1 species